rnacentral:rRNA from 1 species
ACACGGUCCAGACUCCUACGGGAGGCAGCAGUGGGGAUAUUGGACUAUGGGCGAAAGCCUGAUCCAGCCAUGCCGCGUGUGUGCAGAAGGUCUUCGGAUUGUAAAGCACUUUAAGUUGGGAGGAAGGGCAGUCACUUGAUACGUUGCUGUUUUGACGUUACCGACAGCAUAAGCACCGGCUUACUCUGUGCCAGCAGCCGCGGUCAUACAGAGGUGUGCAAGCGUUAAUCGGUAUUACUGGGCGUAAAGCGCGCGUAGGUGGUUUGUUAAGUUGGAUGUGAAAUCCCCGGGCUCGAACCUGGGAACUGCAUUCAAUAACUGACAAGCUAGAGUAUGGUAGAGGUGUGGUGGCAUUUCCUGUGUAGCGGUGUUAUGCGUAGAUAUAGUGAAGGUGACAACCAGUGGCGAAGGCGACCACCUGGACUGAUACUGACAGCUGAGGUGCGUAAGCGUGGGGAGCUAAACAGGAUUAGAUACCCUGGUAGUUCCACGCCGUUAACGAUGUCAACUAGCCGUUGGGAGCCUUGAGCUCUUAGUGGUCGCAGCUUACGCAUUAAGUUGACCG